AUUAUUAUUACUAUUAUUAUUAUUAUUAUUAUUAUUAUUUACCCAAACCCACAGGCCACAGCCCAUUUGCAAGCCCUACCAUUUCCUCUCACUUAAUUCCCUAAAUCAAAUCAGAGUUCCUCUCCCCUAAAUCAGAUGCAGGGAUCGCGAGAAGCAAGAAGAAGAAGAAGAAGAAGAAGGAGGGAGAACUAGAAGCGAAGAACAAUGGGCAAGAAAACAGCAAGAAUCUGAUGGCACCAUGGAUGAAGAUUACUUGCUUAUUCUUUUUCAUAGUAGUUUUUUUGUAUGUUCAUGGUGGCCUGUGAGUGGGAAAGGAGAAGGAUAAGGGGA